rnacentral:rRNA from 1 species
UACGUAGGGAGCAAGCGUUAUCCGGAAUCACUGGGCGUAAAGGGUGAGUAGGCGGCUAUGUAAGUCAUAUGUGAAAGGCGAGGGCUUAACCUUUGGACUGCAUAAGAAACUACAUAGCUAGAGUGUGGGAGAGGCAAGCGGAAUUCCUAGUGUAGCGGUGAAAUGCGUGGAUAUUAGGAAGAACACCGGUGGCGAAGGCGGCUUGCUGGACCAUAACUGACGCUGAGGCACGAAAGCGUGGGGAGCGAACAGG